rnacentral:ncRNA from 2 species
CUCUUAUUCAGAGCAGUGGAGAUACAAAGGAUCUGUGAAGCUGCGGCAACCCCUUUCAGGAAGGUGCCAACCUGAGCGAGUAAUUCGAACAAUAAGAG